GGGAGCCAGCCCCAUGGCCAAGUAGUUAAGUUUACGCGCUCUGCUGGGGUGGCCCAGGGUUUUGCCUGUUUGGAUCCUGGGCGCGGACAUGGCACUGCUCAUUAGGCCACUUGAGGCGGCAUCCCACAUGCCACGACUAGAAUGGCCCACAACUAAAUAUACAACUAUGUCCUGGGGGAUUUGGGGAGAAAAAGCAGAAAAAAAAGAGAAGAUUGGCAACAGUUGUUAGCUCAGGUGCCAAUCUUUAAUAAUAAAAAAACGACCAUAAGGACCAUAUAACCUCAAUAAAUUCCAAAAAAAUCAUGUGGACAUAUUUUAACCAUAAUAAUCAAAAACCAGGUAUAAUUAAUGAAAAAAACGAUAAUCAAAAGAAUGUAUGUAUUUAUAACUCGCCCACUUUGGAAACUGUCAGAGUGGCUAUUGGUUCUAGAGCGGAGCACACGCCCGCCCUCUGACCCGGCAAUUCUACUCCUCAACGCGUGUUCCCAGAGAAGGGCCUGCAUGGGUCCCCCAAAGCCACCACGUGCCGGAACCGGCUCACGCGGGCUCUUCCCGACUCCACUCUCAGUGCCGUCACGUUGGCAGCUUGAAAUCAGCCACAGGGGCAGGAUUUACGCCAUGGAAACUGACAAACGCUACUCAGGGCCUUGUUUCCUGAAGAGGCGUUGUUGUACAUUUUUCAGUACACUGCUGACCAGAAGUCAGGAAUAGAGCGUUCAUCACAGAGCUGUUGGUAAUAGCCCCGACUGGAUGCUGCCCCGACGUUCAUCAACAGGAGAAGGGUAAAUGCAUCAUGGCAUUUUUUUCGUGCACCAGAACACUACACGACAAUGAAAGCGAGUGCACACUAUCACAUACAGCAACACGGAUGAAUCUUGUAGACACGAAAGAAUUUGCAUUUUAGGAUUCCAUUUAUCUAAAAUUCAAAAACAAGCAAGCUCAUCUAUGGUGUUAGAAGCCAUGAUAACGGUUCUCCCUGGAUGGGAGAGUGAAGGGCAUGUCUGCAUCGGGGCACAAGGGGGUUUCUGAGGUGGUGGCAACAUUCCGUUCCGAUAUCUGCAUGCUGGUUAUGUGGGUGUGUUUACCUAGUAGAAUUCACUGAGCUGACAUUUAUGAUUUGAUAUAUUUUUGCAGGUAUGUUAAGCAAUAAGAAGUAUACUAAAAAUAUAGGAGUUAUGCAUAAAAUAAAACACAACAGAUUAAACUUAAAAAUUUUCUCCUAAAUAACUCUUGGGCCAAAAAGAAUACCAUAAAUGAACUGGAAAAUAGUAUUUGUCCUAGGUAAUUAACCAUAGGCUUGUGCAAACACUAAUUAUGAGAGUUUUUAUUGCAGCACGGUUCAGAGUAGUGAAAUGGUGAGUAUUAUCUAAGUGUUUAACAAAGGAAAUUGAGCAAACAGAUCAUGGCACAGUCACACAAUGGAAUAUUAUACAGUUAUUAAAAUUAUAUUGUACAGAAAAAUGUUUGAUGACAUAGAAAGGCCCCUAAUGUAUUAUUAAAUGGCUAUGAUAGGGUUUUUAAACAUGCAUUUUGUACAAGGAAAAAUAACUGGCUAGAAAUACAUCAAAAUAUUAACAGUUGUUAUCUCUGGAUAAUGGAAUUGCAGGUUACAAAAUUAUUUUGUAUCCUGUUUUGCAUUUUCCAAAUGCUCUGCUGUGAACAUGUAUUACUAUUGUGACCUCCCAAAUGUUUACUUAAGACAAGAUAGCUUUAUUAUUAUUCUGGCACCUAGAAUGUACCUUGGAGAUAAUAAAUUCCCAGGGGAUAUUUCUCGAGUGAAUGAGUGAGUAAUUUCUAGGGUAAGUCUGCGUGCUAUGGGAGAGGAGUGACGGGACCGCUUACCAUGAGAGAUGGGGACGGGACAUUCCAUCGUGGCUCUGGGGGGCAUAGCAGUGAAAUAAUAAAGGUGGAAGGAGGGAAGGAUGGAGAGGACCACGGCGGAUGGAGAUUGGAGAAAAACCCUUCCCAGGUUUAGAAACAGCUCAAACAGAGCGGAGCAGAGCGGUUUAUACAAGUGUAAUUUCCGAGGUCGAGACAGACUCUUCGCACCCUCUCAAUCUUUUGAGGCUCCUGGGGUUUACAAAACGGUGGUACGGUUCAUCUGCUCACUUUUAAUAAACACUCAUUUACGUGCAGAAAGUGAGACGACGCCAGCUGGAAGAGGCUCAUGAGAGCCGACUGUUAAAUGUUUAGAAAAUUCGCGAGCUGGUUCCUAAACCGCUGACGGCCCGCAGCUAGCCUUAGUGGGGUGUUUACACCGUGGAAACUGGUAAAGGCCACCAACCGGGGGAUCUCCACCCCUUCAUCCUGGAGAGUGGCUGAGCAGCACACUCCUGGACAGAAUUUGCACCUUCCCAGAUAAUUGCAGCACUCAGAAAAACGACUAAUCCUUACGUGGCCUGCCGGUGGGGCCGCGUUUAAGACGACUGUGCGCGCCUUCGUCUCCCAGUCCUGCCAGCUCUGUGACAGUGCGAAGCUUCAAAUGGAGGUUUGGCUUGGGCCAAAUGGCCAUUCUGCACGUUUUGCUCCCACCCAUGGUCGCCUCCACAGGUGGGAGACCCCAAGCCACCAGACCCCAUUACCCAAAGCCUCCGGCACCUCUCCCCACACCCAGGCCUGUCCAGGUGGCCCUGUGAUUAAUGUGCUCCAGCUGAGGUUGUGGGUGGGCGCAGACCAUGGCCUCCCAUGUGCCACAACUGUUGGCCUGAGCCUCUUUACGGCUCUGCCCCGUGGAACCCUUUGGGGCAAAUGGCGCCUGGCUGUGCUGUGGGUGAAGGCCUCCAACAGCACCCGGGAGAGGUAAACUGCAGGAGAAUUCAGCACUCACUCUUCAGACAGGAGCUUUCUUUUGAGCUGCAUCUCAAAAGAGGUUCAGUUAGCUGUGCAACAGGAGGAAGAGAGGAGCCGCUCCCCUGCCCUCCUCCCCUCUCUCUCCCUGCCUUCUAGCAAACUGCAGCCCUCUCCUGCAGGGGGAGCGGCCCCUGCUCCCCGGGGCCCCUCACUGCUGACAGGGGCUCCCGCGAGGGCCGCGUUCUCAUCGCCAGGACCCUGUCUGCUUUGCCAUCAGAAGGGUGACCACAGACUGUUCCCUCAGCCUAGAACAUUCUUCUCCCGCCUCCCCCAGUCCUGCACCUCCUCCGCUUUUGUCCGGGCGCUUCGCCCUCUUCUCCCAGGACAGGCAUCCAGAGGGACACCCCUCCCCAAAUGCUCUCAUUUUUAUGCCUCAGGGGUUUAACAAAAACACUCCAAAAACAUCUCUUGGGCACCUGCUAUGUACCAGGCUUGUGUGAGGUACGACAUAUCUUUUUCUUGUUUUCCUUAGGCCCCUGCCCUGGAGCGCCUUGCCUUCCUUCCUUCCAGAACCUUCUACGCUCCUCUCUUGGACUUAGAUGGAGCCCAUUGCAUGGUAGGAGCUCAGAACGUAUCGAGUACCUGCUGUUUCCAUUAUUCAGUGAAUAUUUACUGACUGACAGCCACGGCUGACGGGCCUGUUUCUGUUGAAAAGACGUGGAUUCGCCCCAACAGAGGGUCUGAGAUGUUUUUUUCUUCCCUCUACCUUGCUUCUUCAGCUCAGCUCAAUUUUCCCAGAAAGUAAUAUUUUCUAACUUGAUUAACAGACACCAUUUUCACGUUUGAUCAAGGCUGAAAACUGCCAGCAACAGUGAUCAAUAUUGUAUCGAAUUACCCCUAACUCACUUAGCACUUCAGGCGCGCUGGGUCGUGGAUCUGAACAGAGCUUUCGAAAGUUUCAAAGCGAGGAAGCCGGCCUUUGCUUGUGAAAUUCCUGUGCCGACCCUCCCUGACUUUAGUGGCCGGACCUCGCAGCUCUGACCCGCUUCGGAGAUGGAUCGCAGAACGCGAGCUUCUCAAUGUUCCCAAGUGCUCUAGUCAUGGGACCCAGGCGGGGCCGCCAAAAACGCCUGACAGUUUAUCUGGAGGGCCGGGGAUGGAAACUCCUCCUGUCUCCAUGGUAACCCUCGUUAUUGUUUCCAAAGUGGAGUUCUUGUCUGCAAGAGGGAGGAUUCGGAGAAAGGGCACUGCCUGGGGAGCUGGGAGGGAAAACCAACGGCCUCCCAGAGAAGCAGACGCCAGUCCGAGUGGAAGAGAUGCUGCUCCCAGGGCAGAGAAACCGCUGCAGACCUGUGUGGCCAGUGGCCAUUCGGCAAACUGCCUCCGGAUUCCGCGGGCCGCGCGGGCUUGUGUUUGCCUUCGGAGAGCUAAUAGAGCGCAGUGGGUCCACGGCUCUGAGCCAGACCCCGCAGGCCGUAGGAGGGGGCACCUAGAGCCGUCCUCCUCCAGGGCUUCCCAGAGUGGAAUGGCCAUUCUCCUCCUGAGGCAGACAGGUGCCUGCCCAGUCAGCCAAGCAGGCCCCAACCUGCCCCGUGUCGCGCUCCGUCUUGCUAAAUAGCAUCGCC
rnacentral:lncRNA from 1 species